CUAACUGUAAUCUAUACAAGUUACACUGUUACAGACUAUACCUUCGAAGCUACCCUCCCUGUUGUUCAGAUGAACCACCGUUUACUCACCAACCCAUCAAAUUCCAGCAAAGCUUCUCUAUUGGUCAGUCUCGCUCUCGCUCUACCAUUUCUUGUUCUUAAUUUAACAAGUAGCCAAGUAGCCGUCUUUUGUGCUCAGUAUAAAUCAUUUUUUCUCAAUUUCUACGCUUGAAUCUCUUCUUACUUACUUUCCCUCUUUGCUCAUAUAAGCUUUUGUGGGUUUGUAUAUUUUCUGUUUCUUUGUAAAGGUUUUGGGAUUCUGGGCUUUCGUGCUGAGUUUUUUCAUUGGCUUUUUGCUAUAUUUAUAUAUAGGUACUGUGUCAUUGGCGCUUUUGGUACAACGGACUUUUGGAUUGUUGGAGUCUAGAAGUUUUAUAUCAUCAAUAGGAAUAUCAAGUUACUUCUGUUUAGUUUUGUUACUUCGUUCAAUCAUAAUUUUGAGGUUUUGGGUUAUGACAAAUCCCGGGCAUGUUUUCCAAUCCUCAGCAUUUAAUUUAAAUUCCAGUUAUGGAUAAUUGGCUUCUUAUUUGUUCUACCUCUUUCAAUAUCUAUAUAUUUAGCUAUUUUGGGCAUUUGGGACUCUUGGGGAAUUGGAGGCCCUUGUGCUAAGCUUUUCCUAGAAAAUUAGGUAUCAAUCUUCACCGGAGUAUUACUUCUGUUGGGUUUCUUUUAAUCCACCAAAUUCACGGCGGGUGAAAGAAAUGAGAGUUUUUUUAUUACAAAAGGCGAGAAAGGUCACCUAAACGUCAUAGAACCUGCGAGAACCCCAUUUUAAUGGAGAAUUCGUUGACAAUGCUUGCCUUGAGAAGCCUAAGAAGGAGGCACGAGUUUGUAAGAGUCGUAAUUCAAUGCUUACAUUCAUUAGGCUACAGAAAGUCUGCAUCAUGUUUGGUAUCAGAGAGUCCGUGAUUUCAAAGUGUCAAAUAAAUCCCAGAUUUUGAGAUGCUUGAAUCACAGAUACUCGGUGGGAACUAGGAUGGUUGCAUUGAUACCCUUAAGGCAAUUUAGGAUCUGAUGGAUGAGACAAGAGCUUUUGGCUUUGUUUAUUGUAUUCAAACAGUGCUUACUGGAGUGCUUGAAUUACGGGGAUGAUGCAAUGGCUUUGGCUGUCUUACAAAAAGAGGUUUCUGCAUUAAGGUUGGGCAAAGAUGAGGUUCUCAACCUUGCUCAGAGUAGCUUUUCCUUCAAAGAUAUGGAGUUUGGUAAUAGAUGAUGAUAUCGUUUGUGAAUUGCAAAAGAAGUUGUCAGAGUUGGAAAAAUUACUUCCUUGCAAAUAAUGCUGCCUGAAAGAAGGCUGGAACAUCUGGUUGAAACUGUUGUUCGGUCCAAAUUGAUUCAUGUAUGCACAAAAAUAGGUAGAUUUAGUUUCACUUUAUGAGUACCAUUGCUGUUGUAGGGAUCAGAUCCCCACUGAGACUGUUCAGGUGCUUCGCUGCCAAUCAUAGUUUCAUGAUGUUCUUUGUUUUUCACCCCUAGUAUAUUUUGAGACACGUUUAAAUUCAUGGGAAAAUUGUGUGCAAUUAAUCUUCUUGGCAGUAGCUCUCUAUAGAUGAUCGUUCCGUACACUCUUUUAAGCAAUGGACCAUAGUCAUAUGUAUCACAUGAAUUAAAUCUGUUUUUUGUAAGUAAUAGUUCUUCGUCAAUAAGCACAAAACAAGUACACUGGAAGCAUACAAAAGAGACACGUAUCUAAGAAGAUAAAAAUACAAAAAAGUCAUGUAGAUUUAGCCCAUUAAAGUCUAUAGAGACUGUCCGAGAUAAAAGAGUAUUGAUAAAAUCUGUUUUCAGCUCCUCCAAUGCCCUUUCAUGAUCCUCGAAGAUUUUACCAUUUAUUUCCUUCCAAAUGCACCAAACGAGGCAAUUAGGAACCGUCCUCUACACAGUUGCAAUCUGCUGAAUGGAAAGUUUGACUUGACUAGCAAGAGCCUUAAGGCAAGGUAUAUUAACCAGUCGUCUAAAACUUGACAAAGAUCAAACCUUUCAACCCUUUUGUGAAUAAGAUUAUUCUAAGGUAGCUGUAGGAUGUUCAAUGGGAUUAGUUUUCAUGAUCUUCUAUCAUUCAUUUCUAGCUCCUAACUUGUAACCAAGUGUUCUCUUCCUUUGUUCUUGGGCUAUGUCUAUUUACUUGUAAUAAUUAAAUUUGUUUUUACUCAAAGAAAACGGUAGCUGUAGGAUGUCAUUUAUCACAAAUUCCUUUAUCCUAAUCACAUCCCUGCAAGAUGAUGAUAACCUAAGUCUUCUUGAAGAUUCUUUCUCUCGAUGAUUGGGUAAAUAAUGUAGUAGAUGCUUGUGAAUAUAGUUCUGGAUACAUGUUGUAUAUUGUUCCAAAUAAGGAUCUCAAAUUCUGUCUAGCAUAGCCUUUGUAUUGACUCAAUUUAUUGAAUGUUAUUUUUCAUAGUUUCUUAAAGUUAGACUUAGAUGGUAUUUUGGGUUUUGUGAAACAGAAAAGCAGUAAAAAGGAUGGGAAAAUGUGAUAAUCUCUGUUUAUUCUUAUUUGGAAAUGCAAAUGAUGCCUGCGUGAAUAUUAACAAUGCAGCUUCUGAAUACUAUGGUAUUUUGUUGAUCUUGGAGUGAGGACAUAACCUAUAAGUGGAGAACAGAUUCACUUGUUCUUACCAUUUUUCAGUAUCACAAUGAGGUGUAAAGGAUCCUGGGCAACAAUUUUACAUCCAGACUAUAGGAUUCUCUUGACCUUCAGGUUGUCUUACUCGUCGUUUUGUGUUCUAUAAGCAUGCUGACGCUGUCACAAUUUUUCUUGUAAGCUUAGCUGGUGUACUCGAUAUUUCAAAUUCUUGGUGAAAUGUUGGGGUUGAUAUUGCCCUGUCAGUUAGAGGCAAUUUAUGUAGAUAUUUAAUUUUUUUUUUAAAGGUAAUGAAAGAUAUUGUAUUUAUAGAAAUAGGCAAGGCCUAGAUACAUAGGAAAUAUACAUGAAAAACGUCUAGCUAGAGGUUACAAUAAAAAGAAGAAGAUCAUGGAUAUUUAUUAUGCGGACAACUUUUACUUUCUUAAAGAAUGAUGUUGUUCAAUCGCAAAAGCACUAAGAUUAAACAUGAU